UUUUGUCCUUGUUUAGGACUUCUUAAAAGGAGGCAAAGCCACACAAAACGUUCAGUUCUCCACAGAGAGCUAGCCUGUAACGAAGGUUUCGCUUAUCGCGGAAUAGUGGCCGUUCGAAGGAAGAUAUCUAAUUAAAGGGAAAACUCAAGCGCGUCAAGAAAGCUAUGGAGGCGAAGCUUUGUUUGAUCCUGAUGUUGAUUAUUUUGGGGACCCUUACCGUACAAGGAGCAAACCCUAGAAAGGAGAGGAAGAGCGCCUGGGAAGUGUUUGCCAGGCAACCUGAAUGCUUUGCCAAUGGUGGACACUGUACUGCUGUUCUGCCCUGCUUUGCGAUAGGUUUUCAUUACUGCCCGCAAUACUUCUGUCGGGAUCCCCGUUCACCGUAUUGCUGCUGCAAUCACUGAAAAGGUAUGAAUUUAGGGAAUAUAUCAAAAUGCC